rnacentral:rRNA from 1 species
AUUGAACGCUGGCGGCAGGCCUAACACACGCAAGUCGAACGAGUGGUGGACGGGUGAGUAAUGUCUGGGCAACAACCUGAUGGCUGGGGAUAACUACUGGAAACGGUAGCUAAUACCGCAUACCAUCAGAUGUGCCCAGAUGGGAUUAGCUUGUUGGUGGGGUAACGGCUCACCAAGGCGACGAUCCCUAGCUGGUAUGAGGGGAUGACCAACCAACAUAGGACUACAUCACGUGCCGAACUCCUACGGGGGGCAACGGUGAUAAAAAUUGCACAGUGGGCGCAAGCCUGAGACAGCCAUACCGCAUAUAUAGAGGGAGCCUUGGGAAUAUAAAGUACUUUCAGAGGGGGGGGGUUACCCGCAGAAGAAACGCCGGCUAGCUCCGUGACAGCCACCGCGGUAAUAC